GCGGGCAGCGUCGGAAGAGCGGGAGGCAGUGGUCCGUGAGGCGGUGGCAACCUGGGAAUGGGGCAGUGGCAGCUGAGACCAGGCAGUGCAGGCUGGCCUUGAACUCGGGAUCCUCCUGCCUCAGCCUCCUGAAGCUUGUGGUAUUGCAGGUAUGCGCCACCACACACAACAGGGUUUACUUUUCUGAUCAGGUCUCCUGAUAUUGAUGCCACUGGGCCGAAGAUCAAACUGUAAGAACGCCAGCCUUGGGAGACAAGUUCUCUAAUCAUCAUCCCUGUUAACAGACGGGAAAACUGAGGCUUGUACCAUAAAGCCUUCUGUCCAAGAUCACACGAUUAGGAAAUAAUGGAACCAAAAAACCCAGGCCUGGUGACUACAUCCAAUCUUAACACAAGGCUACCUGCUUGCCAGACAGCAGCCUGGCCCUGACAGAAACUCCAUCAGAUGCCAGAUUUACGAAACCUGCCUCCAGGCACUUUAUGAAAUCUGCACAGGACUGAAUUCUUCUCGAAUGACUGUCAGGCAUCCCUGGGCUCCCAGCUUACCUGGGGACUACUGGCUGCAGCAGGCCCGCUAGUGCCACUCCCUGACCUGCACCAACGUAUCACUUCUGUUACACGCCAGGCCACCUCUGUGUAUGCUCAACCUGGCAUAGCCUAGCUCAGUGUGGCAAACCUAUGGCACGCGUGACAGCGACCAGCUGUUUGUCACUGAAGGCUCUGAAAAGUCUGCCAUCACUGCCCAAGAUUCUGUUCUCUCUUCCUGGUCCUAGGAGCUGACAGUCUGGAGAGGGGGAACAUCUGCAGAUGCCCUCAAUUUUGAUCACAGCUAACCGUCACUGGAGCAAAGAGAGUCACCUGCGGCCUGGCAGUGUGGAGCGGGCAUCAGUAAGGGGGUGCUGGUGCUUAAGCUGGGCCUUCGAGGUUUACAGUGUACCAGUGUGGGAGAGGAAUACAGGCAAAGGGCAAAAGCCGGGAAGUAGAAUUGUACUAUUGCUAUGGUAAUCCUGCUGGAGGCCAGGGAGCCAGGAGAGAGGAGAGGUGUGUGAAGGCCUAAGUUGCACAACAAGCCUGAGGGCCAGGAAAGCUCCUUUUUGCAAGCUCAAGACAAAGGGCUUGAACUGAACUGAGCACAAAAGAAGAGGUGCUGGUCUGUUAGCCAGCUGGAACUGUCUCACCUCAUGAAACACAUGGUCUCAAUCCCUACCUCACACCCUCCUGUCUUUCUGGCUUAGUCUAAUUCAGUAAGAGUGGAUAACAGGUAAUGCUGCAGCCUAGCUCUGCCUUUGGGACUGGCAAUAAUCACUCACC